CAUUUUCUUCUUCUUUUUUUUCACUUGGAAAUUUCUUUUAUUAUGAUUUCUUCUUAAGGAAUUUUUAGUACUAUUUCUUGAUUUUUGGGAUCUUGAAAAUAUUAGGGAAAUUGUUGAGAAAGGAAAAAAUGUGAAAUUUUAAUAGGUAUUUUUUCUUUGCUGACCAAAAUUAAUUGACUAAAAUCAAAUUCAAGUAGGAAAGAGGUUUCAGGUAUAGUAAAAAAAAGGGGUUUUGGGUGCAUUUGUUGUGUGUACUAAAUCCUCAAAUCGAUUGACCAAAAUUUUGUUUUGAUUUUAGCGUGUUCAUGACCUGCGAUUAACACUAUUUUCUACUCUGGUUAUUUUCUACUCUGCUACUCCGGUCGACCAUUGCUACUCCGAUUGGCCUGCUAAGUCGCACUAUUUUUUAUUUCAGCUUUAGCAAUUGACUACCAGGUAAGGUCAUUUUGUCAUCAAAUUUAAUUUUAGCAAACAUUUCUUAUGCUAAAAUGCUUUAUUCAAAUAUACUAACUGUAUGCUUGUAUUCUAGUGAGAUUAGGAAUAAUUGUCCAAAGCAGCUGCAAGUAGGGACCAUUGCCCCAGCUUCCCUAAGCUUCUUAUUCUAAUAUGUACAAUGUACUAAAAGCCAUUUUUAUGGUGCAGGAGUCUAUGCCGUGACUUUCAGCUUGUGUACAAUAUUAAUGGAAAAGAUAUGUCUUGAUGAGAGUUCUUCUAAUAGUUCAACAACUUCUGUAAGAAAACAGGCACGGAUCAAAAAGAGAUAUAUAUUACAUGCAUCCUACUAUUUUUAAAGAACAAUCUGUUGUUGAUCGGACAAUUAAUGGCAUCUGCAUCCUCUUGCAAUACAGUCGACAUAACUUUAAUGUGGUGUGUCAAUUAACUUUCUUCUCUGUAUCAUAAUAGAUUCAGUUCAGAUGUAUAUCCACAUGUCGUGCUGUUAAUUUGGGAACUUUUUCACAAGAUUGGUGAUGGGCUGGCUGCGAUCUGGGAGGAAAAUUGACUGCACUAGCAAUCCGAACACUGUAGGAAUGAUAAGUCAAAGCUAAGAUGGGUUUCUGUAGUUAUGUAACAAUCUAAUUAUGAUGGUUCCUGCAGUCUUACCCGAUUCUGGUCCAUGUUCAAGAGGUACUUAGACGUCUUGCACAAGACUGUGAGGCUGCUCAUAAAAGCCGUUUGCGGAAAAAGGUACUCACUGCAUUUUUUUAAUGUUCUUACGCAACAUUCCUAACGACACUAACUUUUCCUUAUCGUAUCAAACAAUUUGGUGUUCUGAUAAAGUAACUAAAUUCCCAAGUUUACAUUCUGUUAUUUAGGCCUAUGUUCAGAAGUUAAAAAAUAGUAAAUUGAAGCUGAUUCAAUUGGAACAAGAAGUAGAACAGGCCAGAAAACAAGUAAAGGGACAAUUCAUAUUUUUCUUUUCAUGAAGCUGAGAUUUUGAUCCUUUCCCAUUGAUUAACGCAACGAACAUUUUAUCUUCUAGGAUGAAAGAAAUCUAAAAAAUUAACAAACAUUUUUCCAUAGAGUCUGUAUGUAGGUGGUGGUUUAGAUACUAGCCAGCUAAGUUACUCUGGAACUGCAUGCUCAGGUUUGUUGGUUCACAUGUUAUCAUGUACUUGGUGAAAUUUCAUACACGAAAAUGUCGGAACGACUAAAUUAUGCUUGGAUUUGGAAAGAAUUCAGUUGAGAGUUUUAUCGUAGUUUCAUUAUUAGUACAUAACGAAACAACUUUCUGCUUUAUCAGUAAAUUAGACUUGCGGACUAGAGAACCAAUCAAAAUGAAUUUGGUUCUUACUGGAUCAUUUCACAAUGUUUUUCAGUACUAUAUGGUUUCUUAUGAUAGAGGAAAUUAUUUCUACUUGUUUUCUCCUACAUAUGUUCUUACAGAUUACUCGUUAUAAAUAUAUAGUUCUAAUACAAUAUCAACUCCAUAAUGCAAGAAUCCAGCAAUAACAACAAGAUAAACUAACUAACACCAAAAACAACAAGUUGAACAACAAGUGCUAGUGAAUCGAAAUAGGCCACACACGACUUCACUAGGCUUUAAGAAUCACGUUUUUAGAACAAGAUGAAGUUUUCAACAAGAACCAGCAAGUCAACACGGUGCUAGUGAAUCGAAAGAGCCCCACACAGCUUCACUAGACUUCAAGAUUACAAAACACAAUCUCAACAAGAUUACAAGAAGAUAGUAACUUGACAUGUAAUAUUUAACAGUCUAAGAACCUUAACAACAAGAGAGGACCCAAAGACUAAAGAAUAUUAACACCAAGUUCUUAUUUGGACCAAGAGGAACUCUAUGACCUCAAGAUCCUUGUUUCUAGCCAAGAUACAACACAAGUAUCACUCUACUUGUGAGUUUUCAGAUUUGGGGCUUCUCCAAUGGAAGAGUGAAAAGUUCCUCAAUAUUACAAGUGUUUUUCUCAAAAUAUUAUGAAACAACUAGCUGCCAAGUAACCCUAAUAGUCUAUUUAUAUUACACCAUAAAUAAAGGAGAAAAUGACCAGAUUGCCCUUUCCAUGGGGUGGCCUUGGUGUGUAAGUUUAUUACACUUCAAGGCCCCUCUUCACACUUAAAAACAUUUAGAACAUUAGGUGGAUCAAUCACCAACUCACAAAAGGCCAUUUGCAUGAACAAGGCUUGGAGUUUUUAUAACUCCCGAGCUUGGCUACGUGUGAAUGAUCAUAAACUUGUUGGACAGCUUGCUACACUCGUAUCAUCCUCUCCAUCUUAAGAGGAAUUUGACCUCAAAUUUGGCAUUUGGUCAUCUUCAACCAUAUCCACAAGAGAAAUAUCACACACGUUGAAAGUGUUAUGCACUUGAUAUUUCGGUGGAAGGUCAAUCUUGUAGGCGUUGUCAUUGAUUUUCUCAAGUACUUGGAAUGGACCAUCACCCCUCGACAUCAAUUUGGACUUUCUUUGAGAUGGAAACCGAUCCUUUCGAAGAUUCACCCACACCCAAUCUCCCGGUUCAAGAAUAAAUUUCUUUCUCCCUUUGUUGGCCUUCCUUGUAAUUUCUUGGUUUUUCUUCUCAAGUCGAAGCCGCACCUUCUCAUGUAACUUCUUUAUAGAACCUUCCCGCUUGCUUCCAUCUAAGCUAAUCAUGAGAUCACUUGGCAAAGGUGUUAAAUCCAAAGGGGUAAGGGGUUGAGGCCGUAUACACACUCAAAGGGAGUUAUUCCCGUACUUGAGUGUAUGACAUGGUUAUAGGAAAACUCAAUCAAUGGUAAGUGCUCCUCCCAAGAAGUCAUUUUUCCCUUAGCCAUGGAACGUAGCUAGCACCCAAAGUCCUAUUUACUACUUCCGUUUGGCCAUCGGUUUGUGGGUGGCAAGACGUAGAGAACAACAACUUGGUAUCAAACCUACCCCACAUGGACUUCCAAAAGUGACUUAGGAACUUAGAGUCCCUAUCACUCACAAUGGUCCUCGGAACGCCAUGCAAUUACAACAUUAUCAAAAAAUAAAAAGGCCACGCUAGGUGCGUCAUCACAUUUAAAGCAAGGAAUAAAGUACGCCAUCUUAGAAAAUUGAUCGACUACAACAAAGAUACUAUCCAGCCUCGUCUAGUCCUUGGCAGCCCCAACACGAAAUCCAUAGAUAUAUCAAGCCAAGGACGUAGAGGCGUGGGCAGCGGGGUGUACAACCCAUGAGGUAGGAGUCGAGAUUUGGAUCCUUUGUAUUCUACACAUUAUCCGUAAAUCCUAACCACAUCCUUAUGCAUUCUUGGCCAAUAGAAUUGCUUCUCUAAUAUUUCGAGGGUCUUUUUGACCCCAAAAUGACCCAUUAAACCGUCAUCAUGUGCUUUCCUCACAAAUAACUCUCUCCAAGAGCUAAAGGGUACAAACAAUCGUCUAACUUUAAAUAAGUAACUAUCAAACUUGGCAUAGGGAUUUGAACCCCUAGUCGAAUCCCACUUGUCCCUACCUAAUUCUUUCCAUUCCCAAAAUAUAGGAGCAAAGUGAGGGUCCUCGAGAUAUAAUCCUCUUAAGCUCUCAAAACCCAUCAAUUUUGAUGACAAAGUGGACACAAGAACAUGUUUUCUAGAGAAAGCAUCGGCUACUACAUUGUCCUUACCCUUUUUGUAUUGGAUAACAUAAGGGAAGUCUCAAGAAACUCAAUUCAUUUGGCAUGCCAUUUGUUAAGCUUGUCUUGUGCCCGAAGAUGCUUUAAGGAUUCAUGGUCCAUUUGGAUCACGAACUCCUUAGGCCAUAAGUAGCGCUUCCAAGUGGCCAAGGCUAUAAUUAAGGCAUACAACUCUAAAUCAUAUGUGGAGUAGUUUAGAGUUGCUCAUGGGUUUUAAAUCUUGCAUCAAAACAGCCUCUAUGCCUACUUUACUCGCAUCGCACUCGACUUCGAAUGUCUUAUCAAAGUUGGGCAAUUGUAACAAAGGCUCGGAGAUGAGCAUAGCUUUCAAAGCUUCAAAAGCCUUAGAUUACUCGUCACCCCACUUGAAGGGUUGAUCUUUCCGAAUGACCUCGGUCAAGGGGGAGGCUAUGGUGCUAAAUCCUUUGACAAACCUUUUAUAAAAACUAGCCAACCCAUGGAAGCUUCUUACUUCUCCAACGGUUUGUGGGAUUGGCCAAUUUUUAAUAGCAUUUAUCUUGGAUUCAUCCACUUCAACCCCUCUUGAACUAAUAACAAAACCCAAGAAAACAACUUCAUUAACACUAAAGAGGCAUUUUUCCAGAUUUGCUACAGUUUUUCCUUUCUAAGGACAUCAAACACACAUUGUAAAUGCAUCACAUGCUCAUCUAAAGACUUGAUAUAAACCAAGACAUCAUCAAAAUAGACAACAACAAACUUUCCAAUAAAUGACUUCAUCACAUGAUUCAUUAGCCUCAUAAAAGUACUUGGAGCAUUUGUUAGUCCGAAUGGCAUAAACAUCCAUUCAUAGAGGCCAAACUUGGUCUUGAAGGCGGUUUUCCAUUCAUCACUAGGUUGCAUUCUUAUUUGGUGAUAGCCACUCCUUAAAUCAAUCUUGGAAAAUAAACACGAACCAUUUAAUUCAUCAAGCAUAUCAUCUAACCUAGGGAUAGGGUGACGAUAUUUUACCGUAAUCUUGUUGAUGGCUCGACAGUCCACACACAUAUGCCAUGUUCUAUCUUUCUUAGGCACUAGUAGCACCGGAACCACACACAGACUCAUGCUUUUCUAGAUCUACCUUUUGUUUAGAAGUUCCUCAACUUAAUAUUGCAAUUUCUUAGUGUCCGUAGGGUUGCUUCUAUAAGCUGGCUUGUUUGGCAAUUGUGAGCCCAGCACGAAAUCAAUUUGGUGGUCAAUUCUCCGAAGUGGGGGCAAUCCUUGCGAAAGUUCUUCGGGAAAUACAUCUUCAUAAUCCUGCAACACACAAGAAAUCAAAGGAGAAAUGGAAGAAUUAGUGAGGUUAGUGUUAAAACAAUGAGCCAAAAGUAACAUAGGCGUGUCCUCAUCAUGAUCCAUGAAGAGUUCCUUCUUUCUAACCAACAUCACCAUGUUUUCCUUCCCCUUUGAUGUUGAGGCAGCCUCGGAUACCCCUACUGCCCUACCUACGGGUUCCCCUUUUUUUUUCUUCCUUUUCAGAUUUUUUCGCCUUUUCCUUCAAUUCUCUUAUCUUUUGAUGCCACUCAUUUACUUGGGAAGGCAAAAGAGGAUGAAGUGUGACCUUUCAGCCAUCCUUCUCAAGUAUAUAUCGAUUGGACCUCCCAUCAUGUUUGGUAGACCUAUCAUAUUGCCAAGGUCUACCUAACAACAAGUGACACGCUUGUAUUGGUAUCACAUCACAAAGCACUUCAUCGUGGUAGUUUCCCACCUUAAAUCGUAUCACGCAUUGCCUUGUGACAUUUAAUUCACUACAUUCAUUCAACCAUUGCAACUUGUAAGGACUAGUGUGUGGUGUAGUUGGCAACUUCAAAAAGUUUACCAUAGCAACACUAACAACAUUUGCACAACUACCACUAUCGAUCACCAAAGUGCACACACUCCUCUUUACAAGACAUUUAGUAUGGAACAGAUUUUCCCGUUGACUUGGGUCAUCUAUUUCCUUACUAAUCAUGACACGCCUAACUACAAAGUUUGGAACCACACAAUCCCCUUCAUGCGAAUAAACAUUUUCACUAACAUCAUCAUCAUCAUCAUGUGGCCCAUUCUCGGGUUUCUCUCCAUCUUGAGGCUCGGCCUCAUCCUUCUCUUUUUUAAGACCCACCUCUUCACCAAGGCAAUACAAUCUCCCUUCCCAUAGAAUCACGUUGCAUCAGUUUGGAUAUUCAUUGGCUUUAUGUCCCCAACCUUGGCACUUAAAACAUUGGAAUCCCUUUGGGUUAGGAUACUUAUGAACUUCUUUCUUUCAAGGAAUUUUGUGGACUAUUUUAGGCUCGGUCAGCCUUGUAGUGGCUCUUUGGUCCUUGUUUUUGGGCCAACCCGAAGAAUAUUAAGACAUCUCCUUAUUUCUAGGCUAACCCGAGGUGGAUUGUCCCGUUGCCUUGAACGACGACCUCUCUUUAAGUUCCCUUUCAAUCUCAAGAGCCACUUGAAAAAUACCUUCAACGGUAUCAAACUUGUGAAGUGUUAAAUGAGUGGAGAUCUCUUUGUUCAACCCACACUUGAACCGGAUGAUGUCUUGACUGAUUUGUUCCCCACGAUGAUCAAGCUUCAACAUGAGUUGUUGAAACUCAUCAUAAUACGCCAUCACAUUUUUGUUACCUUGACGCAAGUUGUACAAUAUAGCAAGCAAGGUACCAUUGUCUCAUCAAGUACCUCAACCGAAACCAAGGUGGUGGCUGCCCAUCAACUAAUUCAUUACCAAACCGCUUGAAGUACUCCCAUCAAGUGUUAGCAUAACCCUCAAAAUGAGCUAUGGCAUAACAACUUUUCUUUUUUUUCGAGAUAUCAUUAACCUGGAAAACUUUGUCACAAGCCGAUUCCCAAGCUAAGUAGACCUCGGGGUCACUUUCACCUUUAAAUAUUGGUAGGCUCAACUUGAUGGUGUUGAUGCCUAUAUCUCUCUCUUGGUGCUGGUUUCCCCUUUCUCCAUACCCUCGAUAUCUCCUUUGAUCUCCACGACCCCCUCUCAUCUUCUCCUUCCUCAUGUAAGCAUCCUCAAAGGCUCUAUAUCCUUCAUAUCCCUUUCUACCAUAUUCCUCAAAGUGGGCUAGACAGUUUUGGACAUUUUAAACUUCAUUUGGAGGAAUUGGAUUUUAUGAAGGUGGUGGUCUUUGAUUUAAUGGAGCUUGGAAGGGAGGGUUCGAAUUUAGCGGAGGUACUUGACGUCCAAGUGCCUCUUGUGAAACUUGAGAAGUUUGGAAAUGUAUUGGUCUAGUGGGGUCAUGGUUUGGAGGGAAAUGAGUGGUUUGGCUUGCGGCAUUUAGUGAGUCUUGGGGUGGAUUUAGCAUUUGGUGCACUGUUUCGGGAGUGAUGGUUGCGGAUGAAGUUCUAUCAUGCCCACAUGAAGAAACAUGUAGAGGAGUAGAAGGGAGAGAGUUUCUUUAACUCUCCACUUGUUCUAAUCUCCCACUAAUAGCCGACACAUCUCCCUUUAUUAUUAUCAAAUCCCCUCUCACAACUCCAACUUCUGUAUUUAACCUUUCAAGUGUUCGGGUAACGUCCUCAAGAGUGGCCCUCAUACAGUCAAGAGCAUUAGUAUCCAUAUUUUGGGACGUAUUCCCCUCCAUUGUCAAGGUAUUACCUAUGAAAUCAGCAAACAAGUUAGUGAAAAAAAAUCCUCUCCUCACUUACACUCUUUGGAUCACCUCACACUUUAGUUCCACAAGUGUUGUAGAUUGGCUAGUAACUCAUGAAUCCUUAAGGUAUGAGUAAGCUCUUAUCCGGAGUGGAUUCAUUUUUGAAGAAUCAAAGAUUUCUCGUUGGACUAGAAUCAAGAAGUAGCAAUGUAUUCAAAAUAUAAAAGCACCCAAGUAAUCGUUGACACGAACAAACAGAUUCAAAGGACUAAUUGACAACCUAGUAGGAAUGUACUAGUUUGUUAAUUAGUUCUAGAACCAAGUAAGGAAACCAAGAAUCAACAAUUAGAAACUAGAAAAUAUCAAAAAUUGAGCUUAUUAGUGACGUGGCAAUUGCAAUGGUGAUGUGUCAGUAUGUAAUUGGUCUUGGUCCCACACAACAAUUUUUUUGUCACAAAUCUAAAAUUUCAAUAUUCACAUAACUUGUAAUGGAUGACAAUUGGUUUUGGAGGAAAAGUAAAAGUAUUGUACUCUUUUUAACUUUUCAAACUCAAAAAGGUGAGAUUUGACUAUACUAAUCCCACAAAAUAAGGUCCCUUGAUUUAAAGAAAAGUGGUUGUCAAGUCUAGGAAGUGAUGUGUGCAAGUCUUCUCACCAACAACUUUAUAAAUUUUGUAUUUCAACCUUUUGGA